CAGCAGCCGCGGGAAUACGUAGGUGGCAAGCGUUGUCCGGAAUUAUUGGGCGUAAAGCGCGCGCAGGUGGUUUAAUAAGUCUGAUGUGAAAGCCCACGGCUCAACCGUGGAGGGUCAUUGGAAACUGUUAAACUUGAGUGCAGAAGAGGAGAGUGGAAUUCCACGUGUAGCGGUGAAAAGCGUAGAGAUGUGGAGGAACACCAGUGGCGAAGGCGACUCUCUGGUCUGUAACUGACGCUGAGGAGCGAAAGCGUGGGGAGCGAACAGGAUUAGAUACCCCAGUAGUCCCUGUCUCUUAUAC
rnacentral:rRNA from 1 species